UACAGAGGGGGCGAGCGUUGUUCGGAAUUACUGGGCGUAAAGGGCGCGUAGGCGGCCCUCUAAGUCGAACGUGAAAUCCCCAGCUCAACCUGGGAACUGCGUCCGAUACUGGCGGACUCGAGGCGGGUAGGGGUGAGCGGAACUCCAGGUGGAGCGGUGAAAUGCGUAGAUAUCAGAAGGAACAUCAGUGGCGAAAGCGGCUUCCUGGACCAGAACUGACGAUCAGGCACGAAAGCGUGGGGAGCAAACAGG
rnacentral:rRNA from 1 species